rnacentral:lncRNA from 1 species
UCUGUCAUGACCUGCCUGGCGAUCAUUACCGUGAUUUCCUGUCUGCUGAAUUCCUGUGCUGCAGUUUCCUUCUGUGGGACAUGAGGCUUUAGACUGGAAUCUAGCUGCCAGGCCUCCCUCCGUAUCCAGAGCACCUCACCAGCCCACUUAGCCCUGCCCAGGAGGAGCUGAAAGAAGGGCAGGCCCCCAAGCAGCAGCAGGACUCAGAGGCGAGAGUGGCCCCAGCCGGGCCAGAAGCAGGUGGUGGUGUGGCCAUCAAGACAGAGGCACAGUCUGAAGACGAGAUGACGCCUGAGCGGCUCUUUCUGGGGGUGUCCCGAGGCCAGACCGAGUGUAGAAUCCCCCGAGGGCCCAGGAACAGGCCUGGGGGCCCCAGCCGUCAUCAGGCCCAGGGCAUGCCCAGGGUGCGGGCAGGGGAGCCACG